rnacentral:rRNA from 1 species
AUGCUUCAGUCUCACUAUGUGGAAAAGGUCUUGAGUCGUUUUGGGUAUAGCGACUGCACACCUUCUCCAACUCCAUAUGAUGCUAGUGUGUUGCUUCGAAAGAAUCGACGGAUUGCUAGAGAUCAACUGAGGUAUUCUCAGAUUAUUGGCUCACUUAUGUAUUUGGCGAGUGCCACGAGGCCUGACAUCUCUUUUGCGGUGAGCAAACUGAGUCGGUUUGUGUCAAAACCGGGAGAUGAUCAUUGGCAUGCGCUUGAGAGAGUUUUGCGCUAUUUGAAAGGCACCGCGAGCUAUGGGAUUCACUACACCGGAUAUCCAAGUGUACUGGAGGGUUAUAGUGACUCAAACUGGAUAUCUGAUGCUGAUGAGAUUAAGGCCACAAGUGGUUAUGUUUUUACACUUGGUGGUGGCGCUGUUUCCUGGAAGUCUUGCAAGUAG